ACUCUAACAGACUAUUGAAUAGAUAGUCCCAAAAGCUAAGUUAUCGAGCUUUGCUAGGAUAACAUGGACAGAGGAGAGCGAACUGGUCUUCAUCGACAAUCUUCUGGCGUUAAGGUUCUUCGCAGGCCGGUCUGGGUUGAUGACAUUGUCAAGUGGGGAGUUUGGCUGGAACGGCACAUCUUUUAAAUCAUAAUGCAGGUGUCCUAAGGGGUAUUCAUGGAGAACGCAAAUCUCCAGGAGAGCAAAAGUGCAAAAGUCGCCUUGAUUUUGAUUUCAGUGUGAAUACAAAAAUUACUUAAGCAGACAAGGAGACUCAGAA
rnacentral:ncRNA from 1 species